UACGGGGGGAGCAAGCGUUGUUCGGAUUUACUGGGCGUAAAGGGCGCGUAGGCGGCCUCUGCAAGUCGACUGUGAAAUCUCCGGGCUUAACCCGGAACGGUCAGCCGAUACUGCAGGGCUAGAGUGCAGAAGGGGCAACCGGAAUUCUCGGUGUAGCGGUGAAAUGCGUAGAGAUGUGGAGGAACACCAGUGGCGAAGGCGACUCUUUGGCCUGUAACUGACGCUGAGGCGCGAAAGCGUGGGGAGCAAACAGG
rnacentral:rRNA from 1 species